AUGAUGGACUCCUCCGACCCUCUAACGCUGCGGCCCUUCAAUAACAGCAAUUUCUCAAAGACGAAAGAAAGGACGCCGUUCUACCAGGUGAUGACCUGUAAAGACUCCAGCCUGCAGAGGAUCAUCCAGGUGGUGCAGAGGGUGGCGCAGAAGAGCUGCAGAAGAGCCUGUCAGCUGUUCUGCUGUCCCCUGGACACUCUGCUCUGUGAGAAGCUCACAGCCUGCCCAGCUCCAAAUCAUCAACCUGAGGAGGAUAAAAAUGCACAAGUCGCACUCCGGAGUCCGCCUUCCACCAUUUUGAUUUUGAACAUCAGCAACUCCACCUUGAUCGACUGCGUCAUCGGAAAUGACACCUAUCCAUCUGCAGUGGCAGAAAGUCAGCCUCUAAUGCAUGAAUCAGAGCUCCACAUGCACGAUCAGGCAAGGUGCGGGUGUAGCUGUGGGGCGGCACAGACCUCUCCUCCUCCUCCUGCUCCUCUUCCAGCACCAGCAGAGCCUCCGAGGAUCAGCAUCCACAGCUCCCAUCUCAACUGUGUCAUCAUCGGCAACAACAACUACAUGCAGGCCGAGCAGUCCGACUAUACUGAAACAAAUGAACCGCAAGUGUGAGUGUGAGGCUUCGGCCGCACAGAGCUGACACACUACACCCUCCAGCAACAUGCUCAUCCCCCCCCCCCCACAAACACACACACUUUUUCUUUUUUUUUCACCUUUUGGAUUUGGAUCUGUCAAUUCAUUUUCUAAGUGACUUAAUUGUGUGGUAUGUAAAAUGUCAGAAUAGUAAAAAGGGCCUAAGCUGAUAUAUUCAAACUGUUUUGUCCGAUCAAACAUCCAAAACACAGAGAUAUUCAGUUUAAUAUCAUAAGGGAGUAAAAAAAAAAAAAAAAAAAAAAAGAAGUAA
rnacentral:lncRNA from 15 species